AGCUGUCGGUCUGCCGGCGUUUCUUGGGUGGCAAGCCACCAGCGGCUUGCCCCUGCUGGACCACCGGUGGUACACCAGUGGCAAACCGCCCCAGCAAAUAAUGACCUGGCGGUCCGCCGGCGGUUUUUGGGUGGCACGAAGUCAGCGGCUUGACGCGGUCGGACCACCGUCGGGGCACCUUCGGCAAACCGACCAACGUAAAAAAGCUGUCGGUCUGCCGGCGUUUCUUGGGUGGCAAGCCACCAGCGGCUUGCCCCUGCUGGACCACCGAUGGUACACCAGUGGCAAACCGCCCCAGCAAACAAUGACCUGGCGGUCUGCCGGCGGUUUUUGGGUGGCACAAAGUCAGCGGCUUGACGCGGUCGGACCACCGUCGGGGCACCUUCGGCAAACCGACCAACGUAAAAAAGCUGUCUGUCUCCCGGCGUUUCUUGGGUGGCAAGCAACCAGCGGCUUGCCCCUGCCCACCGUUGGUACACCAGUGGCAAACUGCUAGGUUACUGAAACUAAGAAUUUUAAAAAUCUUAAGAAAAUACAUGAAAAACAAUAUGAGACUGCAUAUAGGGCUUAUUUAACGAAAUGCAUACAUAUUUUUUUAAUAUUUCAGUUUAAAAGAAUUUUAAGGAUAGAAUAAAAAAUGAGAGAUAGUGUUUGAUACAAUGUAGUCCACGUGCAGGCGUGGUAAUUUGGACAUUUAUAGACAACAAAACGAGUUUGUGAUUUCAUAAUCAUUUGAGGAGAUUUUAAAUUGUUGUAGUGAUUAUGUCAAUGUGUGAAUUUGCCAUGACGCGUGUGCUGUGCGUGCCGAACACGUGCCCUUUUUGGCUUGUUCGACUUCAUGCGGCGCUGCAAGAACCGACAGCUGUAUGACGUCAAAGUACCGCGAGAACGAUUCGAGAACUCAUACGAAGUGUAAUUUCGUCUCGCUCUCGCGGCACUUUAACGUCAUGCGUCUGUCAGUUCUAGCGGGGCCGCAGGCAGGAAGUCGAACAGCCGUCUUUCCCUCAAUACGGAUUACCAUGAGGUGGGACUGACGAAGCUCCUCUUUCACGGGUUUCUUUCCUGUUUUCAGGAGUGACCAAUAUAACCUCUAUAAUAGAAGAAAAGCUGAAGAUUUCAAAAUUUUCUGAAGGGAGCCACAGACAGAGAUGUAAACUCAGGCAGGUUGAGAGCAUAUUAACUCACUUUUUUCACAACAUAUUACCAUGCAUCUUGUCAUUUUUCUGCGUUUAUAGCAGUUAUUCCAGGAAGGUUUUAACAUCCAAACGUGAGUGGCACCAUAUGAGCAAUAUUAAAUGAACAAGUAAACCUAAAAACAUAGAUUCUGUUAUAUUUUGUAUACUUUAAUUUUCUUUUCUGUGUUUUACAUCCUUUUCAUCAAUAUUGAUUGCUUUGUGACAAAUUGCAUGUUAUGUUUGUAGAUUUUCCUUGCUGAUAUCCGUGCAGCAGAGUCAAAGCAGACCUGUCAGAAAACAUCUCUAAGUUGCUAUGAAUCUCAUAACUAGAUACACAUCAUGAGAUAACUAGAGCUUAUGGCUCUGUUUGGAUCCAGCCUCACUUGUGAAGAAUUCAGAUGAUGUAAACACUCACAAAGACAUUAUAUGAUGGCAUCUAUAGAUGGACAUACACAACUGCCAAAUGUAACAUAUUGUAAUUACUGCACCAAAGCGCAACCCUACAGAUUUUCAACCCACUUAAUAUUUUUACAAAUACAAUAUAUGUUUAUAUUUGAAAAAAAUAUUCUUUAGCUAAUUUUACUGAUUUAUUUCCAUUUAUUUGUCCACAAUACUCUGCCAAAAUGAUGUUUUGCAUCAUCCAAAUAUUGUUAAUGUACAUAUUACAGACAUUGUAACAACACAAAGUGGGUUGAAAAAGUUUCUUCUUCUAAGUGCAGUAACUACGCAAACACUAAAACCGAGAAAAAAGUUCUUAAAGUGUUUUACACCAGCGGGUCAAACUUGUUACUGCAAUUUUGGCAAACACAUUUCUCUGAUGGGACAAAAUUAAACCAGGAGACUUUGUCACAAGACAACAGAUCUCACAAAGCCCAUUUCAACCUUCACCUCAAUUUUGACCAAAUGCAUAGUUACUGCGCUUUGGCUUUGUUGGGCAGUAUAGUAGUAUUAUAGUAAUGCUGCAGUGAAACCAUGGUAACCAUAUAUUUUUAAAUCAUGGUAAAGUUUGUGGUUACUAAAAUGUAGUACUAUAAGCCUAUGCUGUUGUAAGAGAAUGUUUAUUCUUUAUUAUUGUUGUAAAAUCAUGGUUGAUUUUAUAUUUACCAUGUGUUACUGCAAAUGAUGGUAAAAUCAUGGAUAACUUUGCAUGGGUACAGAAAGGUGUAAACUGGUUGUUUUUAUUUGUAAGUCAUGUUGGUUUUAAUGCAUGUGAUAAAUGUAUAUGCAUUUGAAUAUUUAUUCUGUUUACUGACAAUAAUAAAUUUGCAGUUGCUGAUGUAAA